rnacentral:lncRNA from 1 species
UAGGAUUUCGGACAAAGUCCGGCUCUUGCAGGAGCUCGGAUGAAAUUCAGAAGGUGGAACUUGGACGAAGUCUGGUUACUAUAGAAGUCCUACUGCUGGAGAAGCUCGGUUAUUGACGAAGUCCGAAAGAAGUUCGGAAUAAAGUCGAUCGUGGCUGGAAGAAGUCUGGAAGAAAUUUGGAGAGUAGUCGAUCACUAUAGAAAAUCGGCUGGUAGUGAAGCUCGGAGAGCAUUUGGAGCAGUCCGGUAGAUGAAUGGAGGAGCUUAUUAUUGGUGA